UCAGAGUUUGUGAUCAUAUCAUGUGUUGCUAUUCAGAAUUAAGUAUUUAGUUACGGAGAACAAAUUAAAUUUGCAUAUAUAAUGAGCAGGUUCGUAUUUAAUUCCGAAGGCUGUUGUGAUCAGUCGGUAAACGUUCAGUUGUAUAUCUUUCCACUUCCUGUCCUUGGCUCUGCUUGCAUUAUAUCAGGAGAUAACAUCGGGCGUCUUCAACGGUAAUUUCAUUUUAUAACUUGAUUUAUUGAGAAGGAGGUUUAAAAGUGGGUACAAUCAUGAUAAUGGCAGGAGAUGCACAUGUAGAUGAAUCUCAAUUGAAGGGUCUUUCUAAGUAUUUUAAUUCAGUUACGGCGACUGGACGAGCCAAUGUGGCAAAAGCAACAUAUGCUUCAGUGGGAUUGCUUAUCUUAUACUUCACUUU